rnacentral:lncRNA from 1 species
GAUUAUUUUAGUACAUUGGUAUCAUGUGGUAUCUAGUAAAGGCCACAAAUACUUACCUUUUGUGCAUAUAUUAUUUAUGUUUAUGUAUAUUAUAUUGGGUAUGCUGUAACACCCUAUUUCUAUUAAAGCAAUUAAACAUGCGAAUAAUGCAUUUAUUCAAGAAAUAGAUGUUACUUCAUCAUUCAAAAUUCAAACUCAACAUGCAUGCAUAUAAAUCUCAACAGUCGCAGCGGAAUAUAAACCAGAGUACUCCAAAUAUACAUGCCAUUAAUCAAUUAUUACAUCAACAUAGAUUAGUCUCAAAAUCCCAACAUAGGGUAAAUCUCUAACAUCAAAGAAAAUCCAACAGAUAAAUCUAACAGACGCCUAGAUCAGAGCCAGCCUAGACGCAACUAACACCGAUACCGGAGAAAGCUCCUGAUAUCCACCAAGCACAAAAGACUCACUAGAGCAACUAAUCCUGCACAACGUCUACUCAUCCAUACAAACAGGUAGCGGUCAAAACCACUGGGGUAAGUAUUACAUCAUCAUAAUCCAUAUAAUAAUUAACAUGAAUAGUUCAAUUCAAAUAUCAUGCAUUGAAUCCGAUAAUAAUAUCACUUAUAUAUUUAUUCAUACUAUAAUCCCCAUAUCUCACAUCAAUCAAUCACCAGUCACAUGUGUCAUGAACAUUCUUUAAUCACAUUUAUUCACACACAAUUAUCAUUCAUAUUUCACCAAUAAGACUCAUGCAUGAAGUGCACCUAGCCCGACACAUAUAUGCAUGUGGUACCAUUUCACUUCAAGGUUGUCACCUAUAUCUAGACCGUCAAAGGUCUCUGCAAGGUCGAAGCCCACAAUCUAGAUCACCAAUGGAUCUCUGCAAGACCGAAGUCCACAAAACUAGAUCACCAAUGAUCUCUGAUGGGCCGGAGCCCAAUGAUGCAACAAAAAUAUCAUAUAAAAUAUCAACACGACUAUGAUGCACGGACAUGUAACAAAGACUCGAUAAUGCGACAACAAUCCACAAUUUUCACCACAAUAUAGAGGACAACUUCCAAAUAUAUUGUUCAUCUCCACCACAUUUGCAUUAUCAAGAAAACAUGUCCAUACACAAUCAAAUCAUAAGAUUCAUUAUCACAACAUCAACAUGAUCAUCAAUAAUCAACAAUGUCAUUCAACAUCAACUAUCACAUAUAAUUUCACCAUUUCAAGCAUUUCUUACAUUCUAAGUAAGAUAGCAUACACAUCUCAUGAUAACAUCAUAUCCAAAAUACAAUCAUUCAUUCAUACAACUUCACUUAGUCAUAUAAGAAUAGUCUCGAUAAUUCAUAAGACAAUCGGUUUAAGAAACAUUUCUGACCCAAACUAUAUCAAGUGGCAAACGGCCCACAUUGAUAAUCCCAAGACAAAACAACAUAGCCAAGUUGAAAGUUCCCAAACAAUCUUAAUCAAUCAUGUCGUCAUGAGCUUAAGCCACCUCCGGACCAUUAGGAAUUAAUCCAAGAAUAGCUUAAGUUCGCAUGAAGAACCCAAUUUCACAAUCUUUCACAUUUCCACCCGAAAUAUCACUUUUUACAUGAUUACGAUGUUUGACUACUCUUACAAGUCUUACCUAAGUCUAUAUGAGUUGUAGGUUCAACUUGCAAGUUCCAUUGUUUGCAAAAGUUUGCUUUCGACAAAGGUCUACAAUUUUCAAAAACUUCCAAGUUAAGACUCAACGGAAAAAUUCAAGUUUAGACAAGCUAAUCAUGUUCCAGUAGGUUUAGGGGCCUAAACAGUAGUUAAACAUGUUAAAAGAAUCAUUUUACAAAGCUCGGAUUAGCCCUCUAAGACCCGGAACAAAAUUCAAAAGUGGCUGAAACUGGAUCUGUUCACUUAAGCGACCCCUGGUUCGCUUAAGCGAACGAGUGACAGUAGCCACCUGUAAGGUACGCUUACUGGCCGCUCAUCAGUUCGCUUAAGCGACCACAUGGUUCGCUUAAGCGAACGAGUUCCAGUAGCUACCAGUAAGGUUCGCUUACCAGCUCGCUCACUGGUCGCUUAAGCGAACGUUCACAGUUUUGCAGAAAAUGUUACGGGUUUCAACCCCUUUUCACCUAAAAUCCUCAAUUUUGAUCCAUCAAUGCCCAAAUGUGUUUCCAAAUGAUGUUUAUAGGUCAAUAUGACUAAAAAGACUCACAAAGACUCAACACACAUGGAAACAAUUGACAUUAGGACCAAUUCACUAAUUUUUACCAAAACACCAACAACAUCUCAUUUCUCCACAACAAAUCAUGAAUCAUGCAUACCCAAGCCAUGAAUUAUCAUCAACAACAUCACAUACCAGUAACAAUAUCAAUUGAUCAUGAAACUUAUCACAAUUCAACAACAACGAAUCAUAAUUCAACUAAUUGAGCAUAUUUUCAACAUAUACCCUUUUCUCAUACUUUGAACAUGAAAUUCAACUAACAAUAAUUCAAUUAUCCAUAACUUCAUACAUUCAAAUAUGUCAUCAUAAUUAGAGCAUAAAUUUCAUCAUUUAUGAACAAUUAAUCAAUUCACCCAAUUAAGCACUUAUUCAUACAAUAAUUGAAAAAUUGCAAUAAAUGAUUAUGAUGAAUUCUAACCCCCUUACCUUAGUUAGAUUAAUCUCCCUAGCUUAGGCUUCAAUUUAGCUCCUAGCUCUCCCCCAAUCCUUGAUUCUUCAAGUUCCUCUUCUCUCUAACCCUUUUCUCCUUGCUCCCACUUUCUCUCUCUAACUCUCUCAAAAAUAUUUUAUGAAAUGAAAAUGUGAGGAAAUUUCCUCUAAGACAAGGUUUUUAUAGUAAGUCCCCUUAAUGGGCCUAACUCUAAGCUUAAUGGAUUUAACUCAUUCCAACUUAAUUCUAAAAUGUUUCUACACAAACGACGGUAAACCACUAAUAACGGCCACUAAACGAUAAAAUUCUACCAACGGUCACUCAACGGUAAACUAUUGACUAUUACUCUAGUAACUUAGCAAAAUAACGGUUCCCACUAAAUACUAAAAAUAAUUCUCACAAAAACUUAUAAUUUACCCGUUCUCACAAAAUGACCAAAAUACCUCUAAGUCCAAAAUGACUAAAUUACCCUUCUAACACAGAAAUCCACAAAAAUGCACCCACUGAUGAAUGAUCACACACAAGCACAUAUAAACACACAAUAAAAGUAAUUAAAACAAAUAUAGCGAAAAAUCGGGCUGUUACAUAUGCUAUCUACCUGCUCUUUAAUUUUAAUAAAUCCUAAAUUUAUAAAUGAUAAUUUAGGCUAGUUACAUAGGUUCAACCAAUGGAUGUCUCAUUUACAACUAUUUUUUCAUCAUUGAACAAUAUUAUUUCUCUUUUGAAAAUUUUC